rnacentral:rRNA from 1 species
AGCUUAAAAUCUCUGUCAAAUUUUGUAUGGCGAAUUGUAGCCUAUAGAAGCGUAGUCAGCAUGAACACUUGGGGUAAGUUCCUUGGAAAAGGCAGCAUGAAGGGUGAUACUCCCGUUCAUACCUGAGUUGUUUGCGCGUAAGACUCGUUUUCUUUGAGUCGCGUUGUUUGGGAAUGCAGCGCAAAGUAGGUGGUAAAUUCCAUCUAAAGCUAAAUAUUGGUGCGAGACCGAUAGCAUACAAGUACCGUGAGGGAAAGAUGAAAAGAACUUUGAAAAGAGAGUUAAAAAGUACCUGAAACUGCUGAAAGGGAACCAAAUCGUUUCCAGUGUCUAUAAUCUGUGACAUAUUUCAUUGGUGAGCGUGCACGUGUAUGUGCUAUGGCAGUGGCUUUUUUGGCUGCGCUUGGUGUUUACGCUGUGUGUGCUUGCUGAUGCCCUGUGUUGCAGUGGGACGUCAAGGUCAGUUCGUAAACUGCGGGAAAUGGCUACCAAGGAGGUAGGGCUUAUGCUUGCAUUUGUCUGUUAUAUCUUGGUGGACGAGUAGUCGUGGUUGGGACUGAGGUGUCUACAACGUGCUUUUGAGUGAAGUUGUAUCUCUGUGUGCGCCAUAUGCGGAUAGCUUGCUAUGUGUAUUUGGUAGUGUGUGGAUUGAUGCGGCUUUCAACUUAUUGCCGUUCGGGACGUUGACGAAAUGGAGCGAUUUGACCCGUCUUGAAACACGGACCAAGGAGUCUAACAUAUGUGCAAGUGUUAGGGUGUGGAAACCCCAGCGCGAAAUGAAAGUAAAGGGCAGCGCAAGCUGUCUGAGGUAGGAAACGCUGUGAGCUUCGGUUUGCGGUGUGGCACUAUCGACCGAUCAUGAACCUUCGUGGUGAAAGAUUUGAGUUUGAGCACACAUGUUGGUACCCGAAAGAUGGUGAACUAUGCCUGAG